UCUUGAAUGUCCAAAUUGGUAGUAAAGAAUCUGUCUGCAAAGCAGGAGACCUGGGUUCAAUUUCUGGGUCAGGAA
rnacentral:tRNA from 1 species